GGUGGUACUGUAGGUAUUAGGUAAUUGUGAAACACUUCAGUUUCAUAAAGCAAAAUGAAAAUGAUGGAGGAUUUUUACCUAAACCAGAAAGAUCUGGACUCCAAAAUGGAGGUUGGCAUCAAAAGUCUGGUAUAUUCUGCUAAAUUGCCCACAUCAUAAAAGCUCCCAGAGCCAGAAUUCUUGCUAUUUUGAAAUACUUAUCAGCAUAAGAUAUAGGAAGUUGGUUCCUACUCCGUAAGAAUCCGUAUUUUGUGUUCUUCAGAUUUGGACAGCAUAGCCACAUCAAUCCAUUUGAGCUGACCUCCUAAGAAAAUUAAAAGCUAAAAGAUGAGUUUCACCUUGGCUUGCACUAACAGGUAUCUCUGCACAUAACUGGUUAGCCAUGGUACAUAUACCUCUGGGUCCCUCUCCUUGGCUGCUUCCAUGCAUGCAUGUUAUGGUAAGGAUGCUGGUACUGCAAAGAUCCAGUGCUUUUGCAGUUUCACACCCUCUUUUUCUUUGCACUGUCAUUGUUGAGAGGGAGCUAGUUGAUGCAAUUCUCAUUUCUGGGUAUUUAUACAUAUGUGUUUCUGCAACCUACUUUUAGAUGUGCACCAGUAAUAUAUGUGGAGACCCAUUUACUUAGGAACUGAAGGAAAUGGGAUGCUCAAAUUAAUCACAUGGUCAGAGAGAUGGAAAGACUCCUGUGGACAAGGGCUGCUGUUCAGUCUUCACCUAACAAAAUCACAAAAAUAUCUCAUCCAGUUCAGCGCCUGGCAGCCAGAGCCUGUGUAACAUGUUCCUCAUUCAUGUGAGCCUGUAUGAACUGCUGCCAGCCAGAGAUUUUUCUGUACAUGCAAUGGAGAAAGCUUGCAUUAACUCCUAAACCAUGCUUCAAAGUCAGCUUAGCCAAAUAAAGACUGAAUUCAAACUGUCAAUAGAUGAACAAUGGCAGGAGGCACCCUUAUGUUUUAAAAUGGAGCCACAGGCUCACAUUCAAAUGAUUUUAAGCUACUGGCUGGCUCUGGAGCCUAAAAGACAUUUCAGCUUGUCAGACUGAAUGUUCUCUUUCUCUUGAUAUCUGCACGCUGAAACAGAGUUUAUGAGAAGCUUUUAUAGCAAAUGCCAAAGUCAGAGUCACUGCAGAACACUUCUAGUAUUGAAUAGUGAAGAGCUAAUGUGAGAGGAAAAGGCUCUGUGUUUCUCUGCCUAUUAAACUUGCCCCUCCCCCCUGCCCCUUCCUGCCCAAAUCCCCUUGGUUAAUCAGGUUAUAUUUGCCCUAUUUCUCGCAGGGAGUACACAGAAUGCAGUGCUGCUAGAAGUGGAGGAAGGGAAGGAAGAGAAGGGCAUGCUGAAAGGAAGAGUGGUUUGAGGAUGCUCCAGAAAUUAAAGCUUUGCUUUGACAGGGUUCCUGAGAUCAGAGCAGGAUGCCUUUGGGCUGUGAGAUGUCUCUG